rnacentral:rRNA from 1 species
UACGGGGGGGGGCAAGCGUUGUUCGGAAUUACUGGGCGUAAAGGCUCGUAGGCGGCCAACUAAGUCAGACGUGAAAUCCCUCGGCUUAACCGGGGAACUGCGUCUGAUACUGGAUGGCUUGAGGUUGGGAGAGGGAUGCGGAAUUCCAGGUGUAGCGGUGAAAUGCGUAGAUAUCUGGAGGAACACCGGUGGCGAAGGCGGCAUCCUGGGACC